rnacentral:sRNA from 1 species
GCUGGGUGUGGUGGCGCAUGCCUGUAAUCCUAGCAGCUUAGGAGGCAGAGGCAGGAGGAUCCUGGAUUCAGACGCAGCUUCAGCAGUGGGGAGGCACUAAGCAACUCAGUGAGACCCUGUCUCUA